UACGUAGGGGGCAAGCGUUGUCCGGAUUUAUUGGGCGUAAAGAGCGUGUAGGCGGUUUGGUAGGUCCGCUGUGAAAACUCGAGGCUCAACCUCGAGACGCCGGUGGAAACCAUCAGACUAGAGUCCGGAAGAGGAGAGUGGAAUUCCUGGUGUAGCGGUGAAAUGCGCAGAUAUCAGGAAGAACACCCGUGGCUAAGGCGGCUCACUGGCUCAUUACUGACGCUCAGGCGCGACAGCGUGGGGAUCAAACAGG
rnacentral:rRNA from 1 species